rnacentral:rRNA from 1 species
UACGGAGGAUCCAAGCGUUAUCCGGAUUUAUUGGGUUUAAAGGGUGCGUAGGCGGCCUAUUAAGUCAGGGGUGAAAGACGGUAGCUUAACUAUCGCAGUGCCUUUGAUACUGAUGGGCUUGAAUACACUAGAGGUAGGCGGAAUGUGACAAGUAGCGGUGAAAUGCAUAGAUAUGUCACAGAACACCAAUUGCGAAGGCAGCUUACUAUGGUGCAAUUGACGCUGAGGCACGAAAGCGUGGGGAUAAAACAGG